rnacentral:sRNA from 1 species
CAACUUCAAUUUGCUGGGGACAAAUAAAGUGGAUGUGGGAGUCAAUCCCUCCCGCCGUCAGAAUCAUCCCCUCCCCCGCGAUUGCCUCUGUACCUGGGCCGAUCACAAUAUCAAUCUUGUCUUGGAUAUAGGGGUUACCCGCCUUGCCAAUGGCAGCAAUCUUACCGUCCUUAAUACCGAUAUCCGCUUUGACGAUGCCCCACCAGUCCAAGAUAAGGGCGUUGGUAAUCACAGUAUCCACGGCGCCAUCGGCAUUGGUAAUCGGCGACUGGCCCAUGCCAUCG